rnacentral:rRNA from 1 species
CCCUCUCCACGGAGCAAUCUCCGAGGAGGAAUCUCCGAACCCCCGCGAACGCGUCCCCAGAAACGUUGCCUCGGCGGGCGGCUCCAGGGAGGAGCCCCCCGGCCGGUCGCCCCCCCGGGGGCGCCGGCGCCCGCCGGACGACCACAACAACUCUGUCUCCAGCGGCCUCUCUGAGUCAGUUGCAAAACUAUCAAAACUUUCAACAACGGAUCUCUUGGCUCUGGCAUCGAUGAAGAACGCAGCGAAAUGCGAUAAGUAAUGUGAAUUGCAGAAUUCAGUGAAUCAUCGAAUCUUUGAACGCACAUUGCGCCCGCCGGCAUCCCGGCGGGCAUGCCUGUUCGAGCGUCAUUUACAACACCGUCGAGCGCAGCUCGCGUUGGGGCGCCGCGGCCGCCGCGGGCCCCCAAAACCACCGGCGGACUCGCCGUCCACGCCUGGCGCAGUAAUUCAAACCUCGCUACGGUCGUGCGGCGGGCUCCGGCCGCUAAACACCCCCCUUAUAAAGGUUG